AUUGAACGCUGGCGGAAUGCUUUACACAUGCAAGUCGAACGGCAGCACGGGGCAACCUGGUGGCGAGUGGGGAACGGGUGAGUAAUACAUCGGAACGUGCCCAAUCGUGGGGGAUAACGUAGCGAAAGUUACGCUAAUACCGCAUACGAUCUACGGAUGAAAGCGGGGGAUCGCAAGACCUCGCGCGAGUGGAGCGGCCGAUGUCAGAUUAGGUAGUUGGUGGGGUAAAGGCUCACCAAGCCAACGAUCUGUAGCUGGUCUGAGAGGACGACCAGCCACACUGGAACUGAGACACGGUCCAGACUCCUACGGGAGGCAGCAGUGGGGAAUUUUGGACAAUGGGCGCAAGCCUGAUCCAGCCAUUCCGCGUGCAGGAUGAGGGCCUCGG
rnacentral:rRNA from 1 species